rnacentral:tRNA from 1 species
GCCGUGGUGGUUCAGUGGUAGAAUUUUUGCCUCCCGUACAGGAUACCCAGGUUCAGUUCCUAGCCAAGGUA